ACAAAACUGCCAUCCGUCUGUUCAAAGGACGAAGAGUGCACCCUUUUAGGUUUCAUUUCCCCAGAAGGAUCCUCCCACAGCCGGUCUCCAGUACAUAUAAAGUCCAAGUCCACCACGCAGGCUGGAAGAGAACCGGACUAAGGCUUCAAACAUGGAUUCCAAGAACUCCAAGAAUACCAACCUGGGAAAAGCUGGCUUCACCCCAGCCGGGGUAGGAAAAGGAUCCCUCGCCGCAGGCAUGAUGUCCUUAGAAGCCAAAACCAACAGCGGGGGGCCGACAGCGAAGGGCCCGGUGGCUCACCUUCAGUCUGCAGGCGCCACCGGUCAUUGCAGAGACAAACAGACCAAGAAAUGAGCGAAAGAUAAAACCAUGAAAUAAAAAUUGGUCUAUGAAA